rnacentral:rRNA from 1 species
CACGUAGGGGGCGAGCGUUGUCCGGAUUUAUUGGGCGUAAAGAGCUCGUAGGUGGCUCGGUAAGUCGGGUGUGAAAUUUCGAGGCUCAACCUCGAAACGCCACCUGAUACUGCCGUGGCUUGAGUCCGGUAGGGGAGCGUGGAAUUCCUGGUGUAGCGGUGAAAUGCGCAGAUAUCAGGAGGAACACCAGCGGCGAAGGCGGCGCUCUGGGCCGGUACUGACACUGAGGAGCGAAAGCGUGGGGAGCAAACAGG